GGGGCGAAAGACUAAUCGAACCAUCUAGUAGCUGGUUCCCUCCGAAGUUUCCCUCAGGAUAGCUGGCGCUCUCGCAAACCACCCACGCAGUUUU
rnacentral:rRNA from 1 species